rnacentral:rRNA from 1 species
AUUGAACGCUGGCGGCAGGCCUAACACAUGCAAGUCGAACGAGCGGCGGACGGGUGAGUACUGUCUGGGAAACUGCCUGAUGGAGGGGGAUAACUACUGGAAACGGUAGCUAAUCCCGCAUACCAUCCGAUUUGCCCAGAUGGGAUUAGCUAGUAGGUGGGGUAACGGCGCACCUAGGCGACGAUCCCUAGCUGGUCUGAGAGGAUGACCCGCCAAACUGGAACUGAGACACGGUCCAGACUCCUACGGGAGGCAGCAGUGGGGAAGAUUGCACAAUGGGCGAAAGCCUGAUGCAGCCAUGCCGCGUGUGUGAAGAAGGCCUUCGGGUUGUAAAGCACUGUCAGCGGGGAGGCGUUACCCGCAGAAGAAGCACCGGCUAACUCCGUGCCAGCAGCCGCGGUAAUAC